AGAGUUUGAUCCUGGCUCAGGAUGAACGCUGGCGGCGUGCUUAACACAUGCAAGUCGAACGAACCUUCGGGUUAGUGGCGGACGGGUGAGUAACGCGUGAGAAUCUGCCCUCAGGAGGGGGAUAACGGCUGGAAACGGCCGCUAAUACCCCAUAUGCCGAGAGGUGAAAUGAGUUUUCGCCUGAGGAUGAGCUCGCGUCUGGUUAGCUAGUUGGUGGGGUAAAGGCCUACCAAGGCAUCGAUCAGUAGCUGGUCUGAGAGGAUGAUCAGCCACACUGGGACUGAGACACGGCCCAGACUCCUACGGGAGGCAGCAGUGGGGAAUUUUCCGCAAUGGGCGAAAGCCUGACGGAGCAACGCCGCGUGAGGGAUGAAGGCCUCUGGGCUGUAAACCUCUUUUCUCAAGGAAGAAGAUCUGACGGUACUUGAGGAAUAAGCCACGGCUAAUUCCGUGCCAGCAGCCGCGGUAAUACGGGAGUGGCAAGCGUUAUCCGGAAUUAUUGGGCGUAAAGCGUCCGCAGGCGGCCUUUUAAGUCUGUUGUUAAAGCGUGGAGCUUAACUCCAUUUAAGCAAUGGAAACUGGAAGGCUAGAGUGUGGUAGGGGCAGAGGGAAUUCCCGGUGUAGCGGUGAAAUGCGUAGAUAUCGGGAAGAACACCAGUGGCGAAGGCGCUCUGCUGGGCCAUAACUGACGCUCAUGGACGAAAGCCAGGGGAGCGAAAGGGAUUAGAUACCCCUGUAGUCCUGGCCGUAAACGAUGAACACUAGGUGUCGGGGGAAUCGACCCCCUCGGUGUCGUAGCCAACGCGUUAAGUGUUCCGCCUGGGGGGUACGCACGCAAGUGUGAAACUCAAAGGAAUUGACGGGGGCCCGCACAAGCGGUGGAGUAUGUGGUUUAAUUCGAUGCAACGCGAAAAACCUUACCAGGGUUUGACAUCCUGCGAAU
rnacentral:rRNA from 1 species